UACGUAGGGUGCGAGCGUUAAUCGGAAUUACUGGGCGUAAAGCGUGCGCAGGCGGUUAUUUAAGUCAGGUGUGAAAGCCCUGGGCUUAACCUAGGAAUUGCGCUUGAGACUGGAUAGCUUGGAGUGCGGCAGAGGGAGGUGGAAUUCCACGUGUAGCAGUGAAAUGCGUAGAGAUGUGGAGGAACACCGAUGGCGAAGGCAGCCUCCUGGGCCAGCACUGACGCUCAGGCACGAAAGCGUGGGGAGCAAACAGG
rnacentral:rRNA from 1 species